GUCUAUUCCUACAAGUGCAUAGAGCUUCAGGGAUGAAAAUCUGCAUUCCCUUGAUCAAGUCCUUUUUUUUCUUCCAAAAUGUUCAAUGGCGACCGACUGCCUGUAGUAAAUGGCUCAAACUUCUUGGCUUGGCUCGCAAGGACAGAACCUUGACUCCCUCCUUCUUGAUAAUAGUCACUGGACACUCGGAAGGCCUAUGAUGCAGGUAAAAUUAUUACCCUCAUCUACAUCUUACAGAUGGGGAAACUGAGAAGGAAAGAAAGGACCCCUAGCCACCCCCUGUCAGGGCCCCAGCCUGGCCCCGGCCUGUGGAUGACUGUCAGGACUGGAGUGUGCUGUGAUAAACCAGAGCACGUGCACCAAUGGAGAGACCACUGCCUGGGAGAGAAGGCUCGGCGCGCUGGCUUUUCCAUGAUUAACGCGGAGAGAAUGGCUUCGACGCUUCGCAGGGCCGGCCGGGCCACGCGAGGAGAAAUGGCCCUUUUCCCCUCCUCCUCAGGCGCCUGUCUGGAGGACAGUGGGCCAGGAAGGGUCAGCCGUGCUGGUGGGGUCAGUGGCAAGGUUGCCUGAAAUUUGCACAGGAAUCCACAUCGCUGAACUCCCAGGCCCCUGGCUCCCUCAGGAAGCUGCUGCCACCCCAGCCGGGCAACUACAGAGAAGCAACCGCCCCCCGUGGUAUUUCCCCUCCCACAAGCCACAUGAAACAGCUCUUGGGGGAGACGGAGAGAGAGCACACUUCAGAAGUGGGUGUGAAAAUUUGAGCCUUGUGGAUGAGGUGCCCUCCACGAGAAGGGGGCAGCUCUGUGGCCUUGGAGGCUAGUCCGGAGGAGUUCCCUCAGGUCUGGUCUUUGGGAGAAAGGGCACAUUGGCUAUGUGGUGGGGGCAAACCGCUGCCCCGCCGCACCCCUGCCAGAGGUCCCCUCUCCCUACAGAGUACGGACAGGGCCACACUCUGCACCCAUGGCUAGUGGACAAUUCUAAAAGUCGGGUACCUGGAGGUACCGAGUCAGAGUAGCGUACCUGACUACCCCACAUGGCCCAGCCUGUCACCAUACCCUAGGGCUUCCAUUUUUCAGGGCGGUUGGCCCUGGGCCAAGGGAAUCCUAUAAAUUCCAGGUACAUGCAGAAAUAAAGGUCAUGCUCCUAGGAGCCAAGGGAUAGGGUCUUUCCCAAGAGAGUGA